UACGUAGGGUGCGAGCGUUGUCCGGAAUUAUUGGGCGUAAAGGGCUCGUAGGCGGUUUGUCGCGUCGGGAGUGAAAUCCACUGGCUUAACUGGUGGCUUGCUUUCGAUACGGGCAGACUGGAGGUAUGCAGGGGAGAACGGAAUUCCUGGUGUAGCGGUGAAAUGCGCAGAUAUCAGGAGGAACACCGGUGGCGAAGGCGGCUCUCUGGGACGGUACUGACGCUGAGACGCGAAAGCGUGGGGAGCGAACAGG
rnacentral:rRNA from 1 species